AUGACCGUAAAAGAGAAGUCACUUACCCCUUUGUGUGGUUGGGAGGCCGUCUCCUCCGUUCCUCCGUCCCAGUACGCGAACUUUUGCAAACGAGAGGGAGUGACGUCAUCAGGUGUUUCCCAACUGCGCUGUCUAGGCUCCGCCUUGCCCGCAUUCUCCACCACUGUGACGGGACGAGCCAACGACAGACACAGUGGGCGUGGCGUCAGGCCUCGGAGAGGUUUUUAUUUAACAGAAAAACCAAAACAAGGGGGAAUAAAGUGUCCAAAAGGGGAACAGUGUCCAAAACAACAGGGAAUCUGGUGUCCUCGUCGUGCUGCGGGGUUCGUGGGGGUCUGGCAGUGUUCAUGGAGGAAGGGUCCAGGUAAGGGGCGGAGUCCGGCGGCCGCACGCGCUCCCCUCUUCGGUCCGGGGCGCGAGGGGCGGCGGCUUCUUCUAGCGGCUUCAUCCUCCUCGCUGGCCGCGGCGCUUGCAGGGGAUGGACGGCCCGGCAUCCUGGCCCGACGGCCGUGUAGACGGGUGCGGUUCUCGACCGGACCGCGGGUCCGGCAGCUCACGUCUCUGGUGGCGCGGGAGUCCCUCAACGCACCCUUCCUGGACCCACGAGGACACCAGUGUGCAUGCACGGGGAAGAGACCGGUCUCCCGAGGAGAGGCGCGUUGGGCUUUUAAACAGCGGCGGUGAUGAGGCUCCAUUUCCUUCAGGUGUGCCCCAUCACACGCCGCCAGCCCUGACUCGUCCAGCGCCCCUCCUCUCUCCCACACCCACUCCUAUCGGGAGCCUGGUGAAGGGCGGCGAUUUAGGACGACUAUAUAUAUAUAUAUAUAUAUAUAUAUAUAUAUAUAUAUAUAUAUAAACAAAUUGAUUGGAAAAAAAAAUAUCAUGUAUGGUUCAUCUGGUCAUACAUUCAUUUAUAGAGGUCACUUUACCCUUUUUGUAAAAAGCUAAGCUUGAACAAAUCACCCUACAUGGGCCACUGCAGUCAAAUAGGAAAAGACACACAACUGUCCCGUUUAGUGACACCAUUUGCUCAUUUCAAAAGGUUUUGGGCUGAUAACCACAGUGUGCGGUUGUUCAAAUGUCCAUGAAGUUUUAAAAAAGCAGAUCACAGAAUCAAACCCUGUACCCUGUGGCCUGGUGGUGGCCUCCAUGAAAUUCCCUCUCAAGUCCUCAAUGUACUCUUUUGAAACAGUAAACGUCAUUACCUGAAUCAAAGAAAACCUGGGAAAGAUGGCCAAACUUUCAGAGGCAACAAGUUUGCCAUACUCUUCAAACAAAUCUUCCAGAAAUGUCCAUUACUGUGGUCAAAAAAGAUCAGCUCUUUUGAGAGUAGAGGUUACUCAGCCAAGAUAAUACAUACAAGAUACCUUCAUAUUUGAUUUUUCCUUGGAAAUAAGACAUUUACCCUGUAAUUUUUCCCUAGCUCAACUCUCUGUCAAUAACUCAAGAGGCACCUGCGAAUAAAAUGUUCCCCUGGCAUUUUCGCCGCUUCUUGUGAUUACAUUAAAACCUCACACUUUUAGCUGGCUGCAAUUCAAUAUCGACACAACCCAGCCAAGCAAUUUAAAUACGCCUUUCUACAGCUGAUGAGAUUUGCCGCCUCUGCUCGAUAAGCUUCCCCACACCCAGUGGAGGUGUUAUCUGUCACCUCUGUGGCGCUUCGAAUAUUAGGACAUCAUCAUCUAUCAUAGGGCAGCAGGUGGCAGGGUCAGAGCGGGGGUCUCUGGGCCCCAGCAUCCCCAGCUGUCUUUUAGGCAGGGCGGCUGCAAGCAUCUGCUGAUGUAUUGCGGGCAGUGGAGGGUGAGGUUUGGAGACAGCCACAGUCACCUUGUGCUUUCUGCACUGGUGCAGGCAAGACUAAUGCAUGCGGCAUUUACACAAGGUAACAAACCACCCACUUCAUGAGGCGGCCAAGUGAAAAGCUUAGUGUAUUUUGGGUUUGAAUGUUCGUCUCAAAAUCAGGCUGGUUUGGUUGUGGGAGGAGGCUGAUUUUUUUUUUUUUUAGCAAUGCUGCAUGAAGUUGAUCAAAAAUGGGCAGUAAAAACAGUGUAUCACAGUUUCCACAAAAUAAUUAAGUAACUGUUUUCAACUGAUAAUAAGAAAUGUUUCUUGAGCAUGCACAAUUAGCAUUUUAGAAUGAUAUCUGAAGAAUCAUGUAACAUUGAAGACUAGAGUGAAAAUUCAACAUUAAAAAUCUUACCAACCUCAAACUCUUGACUUGUAUAUUAUUAUAUUAUAUUAUAUUAUAUUAUAUUAUAUUAUAUUAUAUUAUAUUAUAUUAUAUUAUAUUAUAUUAUAUUGCAUUGUAUUAUAUAUCUGUCAUGAAACUCUAGAUGGCACAGGUUGAUAGGGUGUACCUCAAUCAGAUAUUUUCGCAUCAUUAUUUACACGGUGCAGCCGGUUCCAGGUGCAUCAGCAGCCAAUAAGCUUGCUACUCAACAUUCAAAUACUUGGCCAGUGCUUGCUGGCCAGCUGUUGCAACACACUUCAAUAACCCUCCUCCAUCCCCAGCUCCACUUAUAGAUCUGGGGUAAUUUCAUGUAAUUAUAUAUGGGGGUUAUUUCGAUAUGUUAUAUGUGCAGCAGCAGUAUUUCUUACAUGUUCACAACAUCAUGUCUAUGGAUGCAUUGGCAGAAGCCAGUCUUGGUAUUUGCUCUGCCACAGCAGCAGCAGCAGCAGCAGCAGCAGCAGCAUAGCAGAUAUAUUCCGCCAAGACCAAACACAUUAACAUUGCCAUGUAUAUUACCAUAAACCCUCCAAGAGUUGUCAUAACAGAAAUUAUAUUAUGGACAACUUCUAUGAAAUGAAAUGUUUAUGGUGCUAUUUUUUUUUUUUUUUUGUUCAUUUGGUACAGCCUGGAUUCUUCAUUCACUUUCUAUGGCGUGGAAAAGAGUGCCAAGUACAUUCUUCAACAUUUCUCCUUUUGUGUUCCACAGAAGCAGAAAAACCAAGAUGAAGUGGGUGGUGUCUUAUUUUUUUUUUUUUUGUUUCUAUUUGGACAGCCUGGAUUCUCAUUCACUUUCAUGGCGUGGAAAAGAGUGCCAAGUACAUUCUUCAACAUUUCUCCUUUUGUGUUCCACAGAAGCAAGAAAAAACCAAGAUGAAGUGGGUAAAUGAUGAACAAUGUUCAUAACUGGGUGAAUUAUCAAGCCUUUUAACAAAGAAAAGCGCACUUAGUCUGUCAGGGUCAGUGUGGUUAUGAUAAAGGAAGCGGUUUGGCAAACAUACAUUUUUAAAGUUUUACAACUUCUCAUUCACAGUUUGUGAGCACAGUUGGCUUCUGUCACCCGAAAGGCUGAAAUCCAAUGAUACAGUAUCUAAUGCAAAUUUAAUGUAAAAGCCUCUUUCCACAGAACCAAUGAGGCUUUACACUAUGAAUAUGGAUGCGACUGUGUUUGUCACUGUGUUGAGAAUGCGUGUGAUAAAUAAAUGCUGCUUUUUGUGAUAUGCUGAGAGCGAGAGAGAAAAAAAAAACUUACACAUUAACAGACUUUCAAACAUGUAAAUGAAAAUGGAUAUCUUGAGGAAAAAGAUCUUCAGAACAUUAACUAAUUUCACGGAUUCAUGUUUCGUUUACUUUUCAUGCUUCCAAUAAGCCUGAUUAAUCUCUGAAGUUGGGAGAUGUGUAAGGAGCAAACAGUGCAAACUUGUCAAACACAAACACACACACACAGAGAAUGGCAACUUACCUCAGCCAUAUUUGCCAGCUCAGUCCAGUCAGCUUGGUUGUAACCACACAUAAUACUGGCAAUGAUAAUCUAGACAAAGAAGAAAAAGAGUGUGAGAAAAAAAAAAAAAAAUGAAGUAAGAUGAAGUAAGAUUCACCUGAUGCGCUUGCACUAAAUCCACCACUUUUUCUAAUCCGCAUUUAUUUAUUUCAUUUUUAACUAGCCCG
rnacentral:lncRNA from 1 species